AUUGAACGCUGGCGGCAGGCCUAACACAUGCAAGUCGAACGAGUGGCGGACGGGUGAGUAAUGUCUGGGAAACUGCCCGAUGGAGGGGGAUAACUACUGGAAACGGUAGCUAAUACCGCAUACCAUCGGAUGUGCCCAGAUGGGAUUAGCUAGUAGGUGGGGUAACGGCUCACCUGGGCGACGAUCCCUAGCUGGUCUGAGAGGAUGACCAGCCAAAAUGGAACUGAGAAACGGUCCAGACUCCUUCGGGAGGCAGCAGUGGGGAAUAUUGCACAAUGGGCGCAAGCCUGAUUCAGCCAGGCCGCGUGGAUGAAGAAGGCCUUCGGGUUGUAAAGUACUUUAAGCGAGGAGGCGUUAAUCGAAGAAGAAGCACCGGCGAAAUCCGUGCCAGCAGCCGCGGUAAUUC
rnacentral:rRNA from 1 species